GAUGAACGCUGGCGGCGUGCCUAAUACAUGCAAGUCGAGCGAAUGGAUUAAGAGCUUGCUCUUAUGAAGUUAGCGGCGGACGGGUGAGUAACACGUGGGUAACCUGCCCAUAAGACUGGGAUAACUCCGGGAAACCGGGGCUAAUACCGGAUAACAUUUUGAACCGCAUGGUUCGAAAUUGAAAGGCGGCUUCGGCUGUCACUUAUGGAUGGACCCGCGUCGCAUUAGCUAGUUGGUGGGGUAACGGCUCACCAAGGCAACGAUGCGUAGCCGACCUGAGAGGGUGAUCGGCCACACUGGGACUGAGACACGGCCCAGACUCCUACGGGAGGCAGCAGUAGGGAAUCUUCCGCAAUGGACGAAAGUCUGACGGAGCAACGCCGCGUGAGUGAUGAAGGCUUUCGGGUCGUAAAACUCUGUUGUUAGGGAAGAACAAGUGCUAGUUGAAUAAGCUGGCACCUUGACGGUACCUAACCAGAGAGCCACGGCUAACUACGUGCCAGCAGCCGCCGUAA
rnacentral:rRNA from 1 species